GAGCAAUGAGGAAAAAUCUUAAAACAGAUAAACUGUGAUGGUUUUAUACGCUAUUCUGAGCUCUUC